rnacentral:lncRNA from 10 species
UCUAAUUAAGAAACAAGGUAAUUUCAAAGUGCUUCAGUGUUUGCCUUCUCACAUCUUCUGGGACUCCACUCAGUCUGUCUUACAAGAGCCAGGAAAACCAAGACAACAGCAACUGAGUCAGCUCAGGCUACAGAUAUCUUCCCUUCCCCUCUUCUUUUCUUCAUUCAUUUAACAAACAUUUAUUGACUGUGUGUUGGACUGUGCUUAAUGCUGAAGACACAGUGAUGAACAACAUAGUCAUGGUCACUGUCCCCUGGAGCUCACAGUCUCAGCAGAGGCAACUACUCAAGCAGUUACAAUGCAGUAUAGGAGGUGCCAUAAUAGGGAAACAUAGGAAGGGAACCCAACCCAAAGGGCUGGGAAGACUUCCUGGAAGAAACGACACUUAAGCAGACACCUCAAGGAUAAAAAAGAAUUGGCCAGUGAAGAGGUGGAACAUGUUCCUGGCAGAUGGUACAGCAUAUGCCAAGACCCAUAGGCAAGAGACUCUGAAAGAAAUUCAAUAUGGCUAGAAUAGAAUGGUGGGGAUGAGACUGAAGUUAGACAAAUAGGCAGGAGCUAGAUCACGUGAGGCCUUACAAACCAUGCUAAGUUAAGACUUCAUCCUUAGAGCAAUGGGGGAGCCACUCCAGGAACUUCUAUUUGAAGCACAUAUACAUUAUCUAUACUCCCCUUGAUGUCAUGGGCAAGGAGGGGAAGGGGGACAUAAUUCCUUUCACUGACAAAUACCAUAUUAUCCUCUUUAUCUCAUUAUGGGCUCUCUCUUUCUCCCCCCAACUCCCCCCCCCAAGUGUGUAUGUGCAUAUGUGCUGGCAGAAAAGAAUUUCCCAUCUAUCUGGCAUUCUUUCUCCCCCAAAAUGGUCUUCCAAAGGACUCUCUGUCUUCUUUAGCCUCCAAACCUCCUGUAGGAAAACAACCUGUUGCAUGGCAACAGUGAUGCCAUCUGGAAGCAGAACUGCUAUGAUGACCGAUGUUUCAUCCCUGCAUGCCACAGUAUUCUGCAGCAAGAUCUUCAAACUAUGCUCAUAGCAUAGAUAACCCCUCAUAAAGAAACAAUACCUGUAGCAUGGACAACUCUUCAUGAAGAUGCUUACUCCCCAGUGAUCAUGAGAUUCAAAAGAAAGUAUGCAACACGACCA